rnacentral:rRNA from 1 species
UACGGAGGGUGCAAGCGUUAUCCGGAUUCACUGGGUUUAAAGGGUGCGUAGGUGGGCAGGUAAGUCAGCUGUGAAAUCUCCGAGCUUAACUCGGAACGGUCAGCUGAUACUGCUGUGCUAGAGUACAGAAAGGGCAAUCGGAAUUCUUGGUGUAGCGGUGAAAUGCGUAGAUAUCAAGAGGAACACCUGAGGCGAAGGCGGGUUGCUAGGCUGAUACUGACGCUGAGUGCGCGAAAGUGCGGGGAUCAAACAGG